rnacentral:rRNA from 1 species
CUACGUGCCAGCAGCCGCGGUAAUACGGAAGGUCCAGGCGUUAUCCGGAUUUAUUGGGUUUAAAGGGUGCGUAGGCCGUUUGAUAAGCGUGCUGUGAAAUAUAGUGGCUCAACCUCUAUCGUGCAGCGCGAACUGUCGAACUUGAGUGCGUAGUAGGUAGGCGGAAUUCGUGGUGUAGCGGUGAAAUGCUUAGAUAUCACGAAGAACUCCGAUUGCGAAGGCAGCUGACGGGAGCGCAACUGACGCUUAAGCUCGAAGGUGCGGGUAUCAAACAGGAUUAGAUACCCUGGUAGUCCGCACAGUAAACGAUGGAUGCCCGCUGUUGGUACCUGGUAUCAGCGGCUAAGCGAAAGCAUUAAGCAUCCCACCUGGGGAGUACGCCGGCAACGGUGAAACUCAAAGGAAUUGACGGGGGCCCGCACAAGCGGAGGAACAUGUGGUUUAAUUCGAUGAUACGCGAGGAACCUUACCCGGGCUUGAA